rnacentral:misc_RNA from 1 species
AAGUCGUAACAAGGUUUCCGUAGGUGAACCUGCGGAAGGAUCAUUAACACGAAUUUAUUAUCCAAUAUCAAAACCAAACGUGAACUUAUAUUCUCCCUACAUUUUGACUCUCUUGAUUCAAGAGAUAUGAAUGUAGGCUAACCUUCAUAUCUUUCUAUAGAUAUGAACAUUUAAAUUUUUAACCCCUUUAACUUUAACUAGUUUUCAACAUUCAUUUCUAUGAUAUACUUGAAGACAACUAACUAAAAGAAAAACUACAAGGUUAUUCGGAAAGAGCAACUCUUGUACUUUUCGUUUCGAUCUACGAAAAAAUACAAUAAACAACUCUUAACAAUGGAUAUCUUGGUUCUC